rnacentral:rRNA from 1 species
UACGUAGGGGGCGAGCGUUAUCCGGAUUUACUGGGCGUAAAGCGGGCGUAGGCGGCCUUUCAAGUCAGAUGUAAAAUCUCCCGGCUCAACUGGGAGGGCGCAUGUGAUACUGUUGGGCUAGAGUGCAGCAGAGGGAAGUGGAAUUCCCGGUGUAGUGGUGAAAUGCGUAGAUAUCGGGAGGAACACCAGUGGCGAAGGCGGCUUCCUGGGCUGUAACUGACGCUGAGGUCCGAAGGCGUGGGGAGCAAACAGGAUUAGAUACCCGCGUA